UACGUAGGGUGCAAGCGUUGUCCGGAAUUAUUGGGCGUAAAGAGCUCGUAGGCGGUCUGUCGCGUCGGCUGUGAAAACCCGGGGCUCAACCCCGGGCCUGCAGUCGAUACGGGCAGACUAGAGUGCGGUAGGGGAGACUGGAAUUCCUGGUGUAGCGGUGAAAUGCGUAGAGAUCAGGAAGAACACCGGUGGCGAAGGCGGGUCUCUGGGCAGUAACUGACGCUGAGGAGCGAAAGCGUGGGGAGCGAACAGG
rnacentral:rRNA from 1 species